AUGCAACAUGCAUAUAUAUACGCCUGAAGUUCUCCAAGUUACAAAAGUUUACUUAGAGUAUAUUUUUCCUCCGCUUGGAAAUCAUUAAAGAUGAGGAUAGCCGUGUUGCUUCUUCUGUUGUGUCUUCUGUCUUUGGUUAUUGUUGAUCCUGUAGUGGGUCAAGGUGGAUGUGUGAGAAGAUGCAGGAAUAGAGAAUGCUACAGAUACUGCCGACGCAGAGGGUACCUAACUGGAUCCUGUAGACGCUCCAGGUACUGUCCCAGAAGCCGGCCAAGAAGAUGUGGAUGUUAUAUACGGAGACCAAACUAUGGCUAACAUACAAUGACACAUUACCUAACGAAAGAACAGUAUGCCUUGAUUUUGGUUAAAAGAAAUAAAACAAACGUUAUAUUUUAUGUUGUUUUUAAGUACUGAUAUUUAGGUAUAAUAAAUAUUGUUAAUUUCUUUA